rnacentral:lncRNA from 1 species
AUAUAUAUAUAUAUAUGAAGACUGUACGAAAUGACCAAUAAUGCUACAAUCGCUAUGAGGGAAGAAACAACAAGUAACACGAGACUAUAAAGAGUGAUGAACUUAAUCACGACAAACUACAAUCCAACCCUAAGAUCACGAUACAGAAAAGGAAACACAAACAAUAACUCGGGUCCUAUGGUAUUGUCCAUAUCAAGUCUUAUUUAACAAUUUCCACAAAUUUUCAGAAUCUCAGUCAAAUCAUAACUCACGAGUCCCGGCAUCUGAAAUCUACACUUGGCAUCAUGUGCCUCCAUCAACCUUACGGUCAUACUGGCAACUAACUGGCUAACUAGGUCCACUCUCACAUAUAAAAUGAUUAAACAAGGGCAUGCAUCUAUACUUAGCAAAUCAGGGGAAACUUCACCUCCAAUAGGAGUGUUUCAACUAUGUGUAUGCUUGUGCGAGUGCUUUAACAAGAUUUUUACCAGCUAAUAACGAUAAGAAGAAGAACGGGCAGCACGCACAAUGUUUCCUCACCACAUCGACAUAAUAAAGCUCAUGCAGGAAAGCAACCACACUCAAAAUAUUAAACAACAACAACAACAACUACCCAGUAUACUCCCACCAGGUGGGGUCUGGGGAGGGUAAUAUGUAGACAAGCCUUACCCCUACCCAAAAGGGCAGAGAGGCUGUUUCCAAUAACUUAAAAUAUUAAACGAAAAUAGAAAUGCCUCCACAGUCCGUCACCAUCCUUACAAUCAAUCUCUGACAUAGCCUCCUUAUUUGCCACGUGUGCAAUUAAUAACAUAAUAAGUGUCGCCUAAUUUUUUCACACGUGCAUCAUGAUAUUCCCACCUUAUUUCGCAUGUGCCACCCACAUAUAUGCAUAUGAACAUAUCCUGCCUUAUUACGCCACGUGUGUAAUAUAUCAAUAGCAACAACAGCACGGCAAGGACCUCGUGCACCCCUCAACAACAAUCGCAUGACAAAAACCUUGUGAAUUACAACAUCAAAAAUUGCACGGAAUAAACCUCGUGCAUCACAAUAUCAAUAACCGCACGGCGGAAACCUCGUGCAUCAACAAUAUCAAUAACCACACGGCAGAAACCUCGUGCAUCACAAUAUCAAUAACAAUAGCAACAAAUGCAAUAUAUAUACAAGAGCACAACAAGUGAAUUAACUCAAAAUAUUUCGUUCAUCGGGGCAGUAUU